rnacentral:rRNA from 1 species
UAGGGAAUCUUCCGCAAUGGACGCAAGUCUGACGGAGCAACGCCGCGUGAGUGAAGAAGGAUUUCGGUUCGUAAAACUCUGUUGUUAGAGAAGAACAGCGCAUAGAGUAACUGUUAUGCGUGUGACGGUAUCUAACCAGAAAGCCACGGCUAACUACGUGCCAGCAGCCGCGGUAAUACGUAGGUGGCAAGCGUUGUCCGGAUUUAUUGGGCGUAAAGCGAGCGCAGGCGGUCAAUUAAGUCUGAUGUGAUAGCCCCCGGCUCAACCGGGGAGGGUCAUUGGAAACUGGUUGACUUGAGUGCAGAAGAGGAGAGUGGAAUUCCAUGUGUAGCGGUGAAAUGCGUAGAUAUAUGGAGGAACACCAGUGGCGAAGGCGACUCUCUGGUCUGUAACUGACGCUGAGGCUCGAAAGCGUGGGUAGCAAACAGG